rnacentral:rRNA from 1 species
AUUGAACGCUGGCGGCAGGCCUAACACAUGCAAGUCGAACGAGUGGCGGACGGGUGAGUAAUGUCUGGGAAUCUGCCCGAUGGAGGGGGAUAACUACUGGAAACGGUAGCUAAUACCGCAUACUAUCGGAUGAACCCAUAUGGGAUUAGCUAGUAGGUGGGGUAAAGGCUCACCUAGGCGACGAUCCCUAGCUGGUCUGAGAGGAUGAUCAGCCAAACUGGGACUGAGACACGGACCAGACUCCUACGGGAGGCAGCAGUGGGGAAUAUUGCACAAUGGGCGCAAGCCUGAUGCAGCCAUGCCGCGUGUAUGAAGAAGGCCUUAGGGUUGUAAAGUACUUUCAGCGGGGAGGCGUUACCCGCAGAAGAAGCACCGGCUAACUCCGUGCCAGCAGCCGCGGUAAUAC